rnacentral:RNase_P_RNA from 1 species
CAGGUGGGAUGAUCUGUCGCUGGCUUGGCCAGAGGAAAGUCCGGACUGGAAAGGGCGACCUGCUGUGGAAAGCACAGAUGGGAGUAAUCUUAUGAAUGCCGUAACAGAAAACAAACCGCCUCUACGGAGGCAAGGGUGAAACCGCGAGGCAAGAGCUCACGACGUCGUAUGGCGACAUACGGCGGUGACGGCACCAGGACCAGAAAGAUCAUGUAUACCGGAAUGCCCGCAAGGGCAAAAGGGCGGCCCGCUCUUUUCCGGGGGGUAGAUCGAGAAGAUAAAUGACAGAAUAAAACAGAAACCGGCUUACGGUUCCACCUGCAAC